ACCUUACAGCUAAAUUGAAUCCCGGCAGUUCAGAUAAUAAGCCUAUUUUAAGAUGGCCUAAUACAAUAUGAAUUGUGCUAUAACUUGUUUCUGAAAAUUGCACAUGGAUUGAUUAGAAUAUGGGUUAGAAUGGUGUGACUUGUGCUAGACUAAAUCAUAAAUUUUAGUUAGGGUAAAAAAUAAAAACAAAGUAUGAAUUUGUAAUAAGAGUGGUAGGUAAAAUUACAAUUAAGUUGUGUCUAAUGAUUAAACUAGUAGAUAUAAUUAUAAAGUUAAAUUAAUACAACCAUAAUACUGAAUGUAUUAAUAAUAUAUUUGGUACUAUGAAGAUGCUAUUUUACUUUGAUAAAAUUUUAGAUGUGAGAGUUUUCUGUGCAUCAGAAUUGCUCCAAUUGACCUUUUUAAAAAAGUGAAUUAUGAACACUAAAGUAUCAGGGCCUUGCAAUGUUAACUUAUAAAGUAGUUUCAAUUCUUAUGGUUGACUUUGGUAAACUACUUAUUAAUUUAAUUCAGUUUUUCUCUGUAAUAUACUCUUCAUCACAGUUAAUACCAACUUUCUAUCACUUUAUACAGUUCUGAAGUUGAGACCAUGACAGCCCACAAGAUUGUUAAUUUAGUUCUUUAACAUCUCUCUCACCUAUAUGUGCCAUGUAUAUAUAUGGAUAUGUAUUUUAUUUCUAGUAUCUCUACCUCUGUAUUUUUUCUUUAUAAUAUAUUUAUUUUCUGGAUCUCUUGUUCUGACAUGCACAUUUAAAGGAAUCCUAACAUUUGACUCACAAUUUUUGAUGAUUUGCAGAAUAUUUCAUUGCUGGCUCACAUUUUCAUUUAUGUCAUUUGCCAUCAUUUAUACAUACAAAACAUGUGAUUGAGGAACUUCAAUUUGCUGCAAAGUGAGCAGAACUCAAUACAUGGAAAAGCUAGCCAGUCAUUUACAAUCUGAUUACAAGACCAAAGAGACAGACUCUUGCUUGGAAUAAGCUGGUAUGAUAUGAUUGUAGGAACAUGUUUGCGCUGAAUACUUUCUUUUUCUUUUUUCCAUACUAGACAUUGAAUUCUGGGCUUUUGAAUUGAGCUUUACAACCUUAGGUGACUGUAAUCAUUUACUUACGUGUGUGUGUGUGUGUGUGUGUGUGUGUGUGCACGCACAUGUGCCUGUGUGUGCAUGUGGGUAUAUUAGACAUGGUGUCAGUAAGUCGUUAAGCUGCCCAGGCUGGGAUCGUACUUGAAAUCAUCCUGCUUACACUCGGAGAAGGCUGAAAUUACAGGUCUGUACUGCACUUAACUCUAAUGAACAUUUAAGAGGUAUAUAGUCUAAAUUAGAAUGCAUUAUAGUUGUGAAAUGUGCAGUGGAUUUCAAAUGCUUACGACACAAAAAAUUAAAAUGUGUAAAAUUAACUCUUUCUGAGUUAUGUCCUCAUAUGUAAUGCAUGGUUUCAGUCCAUACCUCUGCUCUGUGAGGUUCACACCUCUGUUCUCAGACUUAAUAUUUACUUACUUAUAUUCCAAUCUCUCCACAGUGGUUCAUAUGUAAUGUUUUACAGUAUAUUUAUUUUGCAACAUUAACAGUUGUGCUUGGCAGUUAUUAGAUUCUUAAAAAAAAUUAAUCAAAUUUUAUUUUCUAAUAAGUAGUGCUUAUUUCACAUGUAAGUGAUAUAGACAUGUUGUAAAAAUUUUAUAAAUAAUUUAUUUUUCUAGUUUAGGAGAUAUUUUUACAAUCAGUAUCAUUUCUAGAUAUCUCUAUGUUUUCUUUUUAUCUAGACAGUAGUUACAAUGUUUUCUCUAAUUGCUGAAGAAACUCUCAUACCAAACUAAUUUCAAUUCCGUACAUUGUGUCAUCUUCUGUGUGUCAGCUUCUAUUUUAAGUGGCACAAAUAGGCGGCAAAUGAAGAAAACAACCCUGUUUCCAAGUAUUACAUUUGAGAUAGAGCAUGCAGAAAAAGCAAGAAAAAAUAAUUUAACUCAGAAAUGCAUCAACAACAAUAAAGUUAACCUUAGCUUUAGGUGAUAUGAUGAAGGAAGACAUCUGUGAUAAACUGAAUUUUAAACUGAGAAAUCUGCUGAAAAGGAACAGAAAUACAAUGAUAUCAUUAAAGUUCCUAGCUGAAAGAGGAAGGUAUAGGGGACCUGAAUCAUUAAUAGAGCUGGCCUGAAUGAGGAACACCAUGGAAACCAGUACAACUUGAGUAGCAUUAAGUGAUUAUGAGUAGAAUAGUGGACAAGGUCAAAUAAAUGGGCCAGCACAGCUCAUGGACGGGCCUAUGCCUCAGGUGAGCAUUUGAAUAUACUUUGUAAGGGCAAUAUAAUAUUGUUCCUAUUUUUGACACAUUUGAAAAUAUAACAUUUAAAAUGUGUUAUUCCAUUGCAUAAAGGAUGAAUUUUAGCAGGUGUGAUUUGUUAAAAUCAAGGAGAUCAUUUAGAAAUUCUUUUAGUAAAACAAAGGCAGAAGGUGAUGAUUGAAAAAAAAAAAACAUUUUCAGUGGAGAUGAAAUUCAGACAGUGUAAGUUUUUACGCAGUUUAAACCUUUGCCCUAUAUUUUGGUCCCACUAUGUAUUAACCAAAGAAUCUUGUUUUCAUUGAAUAUAUUUACACUUUUCUAAGGUAGAUUUAUACUAAAUUAUAUUUUUCUAUGCAUUUUUGGUAACCUUAGACAAGUAACUAUGAAGAAUGAAAUACUAAGACUGAUAAAUUAUUUUCUAAGCAUCAAAUUGUUAAUUAAUUGGGAUAGAAUUCCUCAUUUUGAAACUAUAGCACCACUUUUAAUGCAUAAUAUCACCUCUCCUUUACUAAAGAACCUAUCAGAUGAACAAAUUUAAAUUUAAUUGUGGCUUGUGUAAAGAUGCCUUCCCAGAUCUCAUGCAGUCAUUGGUGGGGCUUUUUCAGAGGUGACUGGAUCUAGAGUGCGGGAUGCUGGAAUUGAUUCACGGUGCAUUGCUAGGGCACUAGGAUUAAGGGUGUGAGUGCCACUCAUCCUAUUUUGUCCUGGAUGAGAUAUAAGGGAUAGAAAGAGCUAUGGGUGUCCCUUCUUGCUUUUCUACCUGAACCCUUCCAUGAACUGUUUUUCCUCCCCGGUGCCUGUUGACAUGACACCUCCCUUGGAGCCAGCCAAUUACAGACUCAAAUCUUUUAACUGUGGGCUAAAGAGAAACAAGACAUUUGGUUAGAAAAAACAUUAAUUUUUAGAAUGUAAUAAUGUACGAUUACAAAAAUCUUCACUGCUAUCUACUAAUUUUGACUUUAUACUUGGAAAUAGUGUAGUUUUGCUUUGAAUUGAUAAUUUGGUUGAUUUUGACUUUAGAGUCUUUGAUUAUGGUGAGGAACAGAAUAUCAAAAUAUCAUACUUAAAUAAAUUUAGACUAUUUAAUGUGAUUGAAACCCUCUUUGAGUACACAGUUGACCAAUUUUCAAGGGUGCAGUAGUCUGUAUUUACCUGAAUUUUUACAACUAUAAAAUAAUUUAAUCAUUUGCAGUAACUAUAAAGAGCAAAUAUAAUUUUUCUAAAUAUAAAAUAUCAUUAUAACAUACAGAAGUAAAUAUUAUAUUGCUAUAAAAAUACAAAAAUAUAUUUAUGAAUAUUUUGGGACCUAAAGUAUAACUUAUAAAGUCAUGGGAUGUUUAUACUGUUUUUUACUUUGUAUAUAGUGUGUAUUCUUCAAAAGGAAUAGCAAAUUAUUGACCAGUUACAUAAAUUGUGCAAUCAAUGCAUAACUAUUAAUAAAAGCAUAAUAUCAACUAUUCAACAAGGUCAAUUUUGUACUUUGUAGUAGGAAACCCAGAAGGUAAUAAUAAAUAUCACAAUGAAACAUCAUCAGUAGAAAAAUGUUAGAAAGUUUUAAAAUUCUACAUUUUUAAAUAUAUUCUAAGUAUAAAAUUUCAAUGAUAAAAAAUUUCUUGACAAAAAUGAAUCCAGAAUAACUGAAUAGAUAAAUGGACUCUUCGAUGGUAUAUAGACUGCAGUGUCCUCUGAUUAAAUGUAUGUGACAGCACCGAGUGUAGUUUGGUUAUUGCAUUUACUUUCAGAGUGCUUCCAGUUCUUACAAUAAUCACUAGUUUUGCAUUCUCAAAAAUGAACCCUGAAGAAUGACUACAGUGUUCGUCAUUUUGUUUUAUGGUACUCAUGGCCUUAUGGCAUUUGUUCUCCCUUCGGGAGUUUGAAGUUAGUAGAAAACAUUUAACAAGGAAUUGCAUCCAAGGUCCGUUAAAGGCACUAGAUUUUAUACUUUGCCCUUUUUUUCUUCAGCAUUCACACUUUGCCUAGCAUAUUUUUAGAGUUAGGAGAAAUUCAUGGAGAAUCAGCCUAAAAAUAUUUAUUUUAAUACUGUAAAAUUUAAAUGAACUUCCAGUCACUUCCCAAAUGUGUUACAGGAAAAUUUGGAUAAGACUGAAUCUAUAAAACAAAAGAUUGAAGGGGGGAAGCAGAGAAAUCAAUAGUAAAAAAAUAACUAAUUGAGUCUUUUACAUGUAUCACCUCCUCAUGAUGAAUUUAAUCAUUUUAUAAAGACUUUGUGCAUACAUAUGCACAUUUGUAAAUAUACAAACACAUUAACUUGUUUGUAUUUAUCUUAAUUAACAAGAUAUUUUUGUAAUCAAUUUUAAUAAACUAUUUCUUAGAAAAACACAAAAAUUAAAUGAAAGUUACAAAUUCUUGAAAGCUUUUCUCAUCAUAUUUAUACAAUCUUUAUACUAUUAAUAUGCCUCACCAGAGCAUUAUAUCUGUAGAUGUUUAUGAAACUAUGUAUAUAAACCAUUAUUACUAUAUCUACAACUUACUUUUGAAUUCAUUCUGGAAGUUGUAUAUUCUAAAGAUUAAGACAAUAUAUGACCAUAUACACUUCAUCAGAACUCAAUAUUUUAUCACCCUAAAUAUCCUUUGCUGGCUAAGUAUCCCUCUCCCUCAAGCUCUAAUCAUUUCUGAAAACCAUUAAUCAUUUUACUGUCCUUGCAGAUUUCAGUAUUCCACAAAGUCAUAGAGUUGGAAUUAGUAUGUUGACAUAUCUGUUUGAGUACUCCAGAGGAACAGCAUAAGUAGAAAAUACAAACACUUAUUCAAGAGGAUUUUUUUAGUAAGGUUACAGAAUGAGAAGCAGAAAAGUCCACAGUGAUUAUCUGUGUGAGGGAGAACUGGAAGAUACAGAAGUUGUUCAACCCAGGAUGAUGGACAAGAAGGAUCAAGGACACAGCACCAGUCCAAGAUCAAAAGCCUGGAAACUGACUAGCGUGACAUCUGUGUAAGUCUGCACUGGAAGGCUGAAGAAAGUAGAAACCGACAACCAAAGGUGAUGGGAAUCUUAGAGCUCUUCCAAACAUGUGACUAUAAGCAUUUUUAAAUGCAUGUUGUCAUUUAUCAUUGUGUUUGUUGAGACUUUUGCUCAAGUCUUUUGCCUAUUUUUGCAAUCAGAAUUUUUUUCUUACUGUUAUUAUAAAGGAGUGCUUGCACAUUUUGGAAUAUUGCUUUCAUUAGAGGUUUACUGAAGAAACAUUUUCUCUCAGUCUGUGGGGUUGUGGCUUCAUUUUCUUAUUGUUGUCUUUUGCAUGGCUGGAGCUUUCAGUUUUAAUAAAGUGAGUGUUUUCAACUA